ensembl:snRNA U6 U6 spliceosomal RNA
GUGCUCACUUCGACAGCACAUAUACUAAAACUGAAAAAAUACAGAAAAGAUUAGCAUGCUCCUGUGCAAGAAUGACAUGCAAAUUUUUAAAGUGUUCCAUAUUUUU